GAGUUUGAUCUUGACUCAGAUUGAACGCUGGCGGAAUGCUUUACACAUGCAAGUCGAGCGGCAGCGCGGGGCAACCUGGCGGCGAGCGGCGAACGGGUGAGUAAUGCAUCGGAACAUGUCCAUUGAUGGGGGAUAGCCCGGCGAAAGCCGGAUUAAUACCGCAUGAGCCCGAGAGGGGAAAGUGGGGGACCGCAAGGCCUCACGUCGAUGGGUUGGCCGAUGUCCGAUUAGCUAGUUGGUGGGGUAAAGGCCUACCAAGGCGAUGAUCGGUAGCUGGUCUGAGAGGAUGAUCAGCCACACUGGGACUGAGACACGGCCCAGACUCCUACGGGAGGCAGCAGUGGGGAAUUUUGGACAAUGGGGGCAACCCUGAUCCAGCCAUUCCGCGUGAGUGAAGAAGGCCUUCGG
rnacentral:rRNA from 1 species